rnacentral:rRNA from 1 species
UAGAUACCCUGGUAGUCCACGCUGUAAACGAUGAGUACUAGGUGUCGUGGGUCACCCACCUGGGUGCGGCGGCUAACGCAUGAAGUACUCCGCCUGGGAAGUACGCUCGCAAGAGGGAAACUCAAAGGAAUUGCCGGGGACCCGAACAAGUAGCGGAGCAUGUGGUUUAAUUCGAAGCAACGCGAAGAACCUUACCUAAGCUUGACAUCCCAAUGACAUCUCCUUAAUCGGAGAGUUCCCUUCGGGGACAUUGGUGACAGGUGGUGCAUGGUUGUCGUCAGCUCGUGUCGUGAGAUGUUGGGUUAAGUCCCGCAACGAGCGCAACCCUUGUCUUUAGUUGCCAUCAUUAAGUUGGGCACUCUAGAGAGACUGCCAGGGAUAACCUGGAGGAAGGUGGGGAUGACGUCAAAUCAUCAUGCC